rnacentral:lncRNA from 1 species
AAAAGAGGUAUUCUCCUGCACACGCUCCCUCAUUUUUUGCCUGCUGCCAUCCAGUUAAGAUAUGACUUGCUCCUCCUUGCCUUCUGCCAUGAUGUGAGGCUUCCCUAGCCACAUGGAACUGAUGAAGAAUUGGCUGGAGGUAAAAAUCUCAUUGAAAAUCUUUGUCAGUGGGUGAAAUGUCCAGCUGUUAAGUGAAUUGGUAUGGUAUGGUGGCUAGUUCCAAAUGAAAUGGCUAAGCUUCACCCCUUUGAACACUCAACUUCUCAGGAACACCUCCGUAACCAAAUGUUUGGUGUUUUUCCUAUACACCAAGAAGGCAAUCAGUUCUCAGCAGAUUCUCCAGUGGACACGAGGGGUACAUGUUACAUGGAUAAAUUGCGUGUUGCUGAGGCUUGGUGUACAAAUGAUCCCGUCACCGAGGUAAUGAGUGUAAUACCGGAUAGAUAAGCCUCCAACCCACCUCUGCUCUACCCUCCCCACCUCAAGAAGUCACCACUGUCUAUUGUUCUCACCUUUGUGUCCAUGUGUAUUCAAUACUUAACUCCCACUUUUAA